rnacentral:rRNA from 1 species
GCCGUCCUUGAAAUACCACCCUGGUAAUGUUGAGGUUCUAACUCUGUCCCGUGAUCCGGGACGAGGACCGUGUCUGGUGGGUAGUUUGACUGGGGCGGUCUCCUCCUAAAGAGUAACGGAGGAGUACGAAGGUGCGCUCAGCGUGGUCGGAAAUCACGCGUAGAGUAUAAAGGCAAAAGCGCGCUUAACUGCGAGACCCACAAGUCGAGCAGGUACGAAAGUAGGUCUUAGUGAUCCGGUGGUUCUGUAUGGAAGGGCCAUCGCUCAACGGAUAAAAGGUACUCUGGGGAUAACAGGCUGAUACCGCCCAAGAGUUCAUAUCGACGGCGGUGUUUGGCACCUCGAUGUCGGCUCAUCUCAUCCUGGGGCUGAAGCAGGUCCCAAGGGUAUGGCUGUUCGCCAUUUAAAGAGGUACGCGAGCUGGGUUUAGAACGUCGUGAGACAGUUCGGUCCCUAUCUACCGUGGGCGCUGGAAAUUUGAGAGGAUCUGCUCCUAGUACGAGAGGACCAGAGUGGACGAACCUCUGGUGUACCGGUUGUGACGCCAGUCGCAUCGCCGGGUAGCUAUGUUCGGAAGGGAUAACCGCUGAAAGCAUCUAAGCGGGAAGCCUACCUCAAGAUAAGAUUUCCCUAGGACUUUAUGUCCUCUAAAGAGCCGUUCGAGACUAGGACGUUGAUAGGUUGGAUGUGGAAGCAUAGUGAUAUGUGAAGCUGACCAAUACUAAUUGCUCGUGAGGCUUGACUAU